GUUCUCUUGCUACUCUGUGCUCCUAUUUGAUGAAUUUGUUUUCAGGGACAAAUUCCUCUCCAUUAACUCUCAAGUGAGAGCCUUCACCCUUGAUGAAAGAAUGGCUGACAAGAGCUCUACCUCCUCCUCUCUGCUGCUGUCAGGCUGUAGAGAUGGAGAGCUGUGUGAGGGCAGUGUGAGAGAUGAAGUCAACUGUGACUAGAGUUUCUCCCUUGUCAGAGCACUGAGUCCUCUGAGUAAGGAAAGAGCUGGCUCAGGAGGGAAGGAACUUGCUGUAGUUAUUGUGUGAGUUUGCUUUUUCCUUGGUAUGACAAAGGGUCUGACAGAAUGGAAGAAAGGUGGUUGUUUUAUGGAUGCAGAAGGAUCUGUGUGUAGUUCUGUUUUACAGAUGCCGAGGAGUUAGUCUGUAGUUUUAUGGUCCCAUUGCUCCUGGGUUCAUGAAGAAACAGAUUCUCUUGAGAGAAGAGAAUGGCUGAACAAAGCUAGUCACCUUGUGAUAGAUAUGAGGCAGAGAAAGGGGAAAAGGUUAGAGACAAGAUAAUCUUUCCAACACAUGCCUCCAGUCUGGCAAGAUGCCUCUCUGUAUAAAGACACUUGCUGCCGAGCGUAAGACCUGAGUUCCAUUGUGGAAUUCACAUGUGGAAAAGGAAAAAUAAUCUAACCUUUACAUAUAUAGUUUGGCUUGUAUGUGUGCACACACACACAAGAGGAGGAGAAGAAGAGGCAGCAGCAAAUAAAUAAAGGUCUGGAAAGAUGACUCAGUGGUUAAUAGCACUUGGUGCUUCUUUAGAGAGCCUGCCUUUGGUUCCAAGCAUGUACCCCAUGUGGUUCACAACCAUCUCUACUCUGAUUCCAGGGCAUUCAACACGCUCCUCUAGUCUCCAUGGGCACCAGGCAUACGUGCAGGCACUCAAACAUGU
rnacentral:lncRNA from 1 species